rnacentral:rRNA from 1 species
UACGGAGGGUGCGAGCGUUAUUCGGAAUUAUUGGGCGUAAAGGGCGCGUAGGCGGUUUUUAAAGUCAGAUGUGAAAUACCUAGGCUUAACCUUGGAAGUGCAUUUGAUACUUAGAGACUUGAGUAUGGGAGAGGAAAGUGGAAUUCCUGGUGUAGAGGUGAAAUUCGUAGAUAUCAGGAGGAACACCGGUGGCGAAGGCGACUUUCUGGACCAAUACUGACGCUGAGGCGCGAAGGCGUGGGGAGCAAACAGGAUUAGAUACCCUGGUAGUCCACGCAGUAAACGGUGAACACUAGGUGUAGCGGGUAUUAAUCUGCUGUGCCGAAACUAACGCAUUAAGUGUUCCGCCUGGGGAGUACGGCCGCAAGGUUA